rnacentral:rRNA from 1 species
AGUGAACGCUGGCGGUAGGCCUAACACAUGCAAGUCGAACGGCAGCACAGUAAGUUCUUGCUCUUACGGGUGGCGAGUGGCGGACGGGAGAGGAAUACAACCGAAUCUACAUUUUCGGGGGGGAUAACGUAGGGAGACUUACGCUAAUACCGCAUACGACCUACGGGUGAAAGCAUUGGAUAUUCGGACCUUGCGGGAUUGAAUGAGCCGAUGCCGGACUAGCUAGUUGGCGGGGUAAGGGCCCACCAAGGCAACGAUCCGUAGCUGGUCUGAGAGGGUGAUCAGCCACACUGGAACUGAGACACGGUCCAGACUCCUACGGGAGGCAGCAGUGGGGAAUAUUGGACAAUGGGCGCAAGCCUGAUCCAGCCAUACCGCGUGGGUGAAGAAGGCCUUCGGGUUGUAAAGCCCUUUUGUUGGGAAAGAAAAGCAGCAGGUUAAUACCCCGCUGUUCUGACGGUACCCAAUGAAUAAGCACCGGCUAACUUCGUG